rnacentral:RNase_P_RNA from 1 species
CGCCGAUGGCGCGGCCACACGUGAGCCGCGCACAGGCAAGGGUGAAAAGGUGCGGUAAGAGCGCACCGGCGUCGUGGCGACACGGCGGCCAGGCAAACCCCACCCGAUGCAAGGCCAAGCAGGACCGCUUGUAGGCUGCCCGCCGAGGUCCAGGUCGGCCGCUCAGAUGGAUGGCUGCUCACGACAGGAUCCGGCUUACCGGCUUGCUAAGGGA